UACGUAGGGGGCAAGCGUUGUCCGGAAUCAUUGGGCGUAAAGAGCGUGUAGGCGGCCAGAUAAGUCCGCUGUGAAAACUCGAGGCUCAACUUCGAGCUGUCGGUGGAAACUAUUUUGGCUAGAGUCCGGAAGAGGAGAGUGGAAUUCCUGGUGUAGCGGUGAAAUGCGCAGAUAUCAGGAAGAACACCCGUGGCGAAGGCGGCUCUCUGGUACGGAACUGACGCUGAGACGCGAAAGCGUGGGGAGCGAACAGG
rnacentral:rRNA from 1 species